UCCAUAGGAUCUGUAAUAUAAAUAGCUAUUUUAUAGUUAAUUGUGAUUGUAUAUCCGUUAAAUAUUAAUUUAAACAUUUAAUCUCUGCCUAGUUGCAGGCAAUACGCAAAUUUUGCAAGAACGCCAAUAAUUUGUCGUCAAGGACUCCUAUUGUUCUUAAGUUUAAAUUUUUGGUUACCGGUUUGCCGCGUUACCUUGAACUCCGGAUAGCUAUAUUUUUACGCAAGGACAGUGCCCGGUCGCGAUCGCUACAAAUUGAAAUGUAAACGCGCGAACAAUCGUGUACAUAAUGUAUUUUUCCGGUGAAAGGGAAAAAAAGGCUAAGGGCGGAUAUAAUUUUGGUGGUAUAAAAAGAAGGGCGGCGAUACGAGGCGAUACUAGGCGAGGCGAGGCAAAGCAAGGCGAGGCAAGCGAGUCGCGACCCUGGCUUCAGCUACUCGGUAAGUAGUCGAAACGAUAUUUUGGUCGAGUCGAGACAGUGGGAUGGGAUAUGAUUGCCUUCUCGUAUUGCCAUGCCUCUCGGAAGAAAAGAGGAAGAGAGACCGAGCAAAAUGAUCCGAGAGGCUGCGCGAGGUGUUGGAAAGCCACGAUGAAAGACAUAUGAGGAUUCCAGCGGCGAGAUAGGAUAUGCCUGCUGACUAUGUUACAGCGAAAAUCUUUUGAGGCUCGCCCUGCGUUUACAAUAUUUUUUUGCCUUAGGAUCUUUUUUCUCUGCACCAUCGCCGAAGGUAUUCAACUUUUCUCACCGAUAUACAAUUCCUUAGGCCGAACGAUGUUAUCAAAAUUAAGCGGGGGAAACGAGCAGAGCAACGAACAGAAAAUAAAUAGGUAAAUAAAACGUGAA